rnacentral:tRNA from 1 species
UUCUUUGUAGUCUAUUUGGUUAGGAUACUCAGCUCUCACUUGAGAGACCUGGGUUCAAAUCCCAGCAACAAAA